rnacentral:lncRNA from 1 species
GUUUUAUGUCCAUAUAGCAGUAAGGAUCUUAAUAGACUUCUGUGUGGCUGAACAUUGUGCUUCCUAGAUAUCAUGCAAUUUAACGGUCCUAUCAACUCCAGGAAGAAGGCCUUCUUGGCCCUAUUUACCCGACGCUGAAGCUAAGUGGCUGGUGGAAAGUCACACGGUAGAGACACUGUCAUGCACAACCCCUUCUCCUUUCCCUUUUUCUAACAACAGACCCCUGCCCCCUGUGAUGGCUGGCUCUCGAGAGGGGCAUGUAACACAAGCUGAGCCAAUCAGAAUCCUUCCCUGGGACCCUCUCUGGAGCUGGAGGAAAAGAGCUCUUUCUUCUCUGGUUGUGCAGCUCUUCUUUCUAGAAGUUUCUUUUCCACCACAUCCACACAAUUGUAGAGGGAACAGCCAUGUUACAACAUGACCCUGCCUCUGUGAAAACUAUACCCACAAAUUCUUUGAUGCCCCUUCUUUCAAAAGGGGAAGGCUGAUUUCCCUCCCCUUGAAUGUGGGCUGGACCUGGCGCCUUGCUUUCAAUGAACAGACCGAUGCUGUGUGACUUCCAAGGCCAGCCAUACAAAGGCUGGUUUCUGCCUGAUGUUCUCUGUCUUGCAACACUGGCUUUGCAGGGAGCCAACUGCCAUGUGGUGAGGACACGUCAGCAGCCUGUAGAGAGGUCCACGUGGUGCACAUCUGCCACAAUCAGCACUGACUUGCCAACCACUAGAGGGAACUAUUUUGGAAAUGAAUUCUCUGGCCCCGGUCAAGCCUUCGGAUGAUUUCUGAAGUAGGAGAGACGCUGAGCUGUGACUGCUUAGCUCGGCUGAUGCCGGAUUCCUGACCCCCAGAAACCAUGCGAGGACGCCUGCCUCAGCGUGGCUUGGUAAUCGGUGUGUGGGUCCACGCCUGGGAUCUGAACCAGCAAACCCUGGGCCACCGAAGCAGAGUACGCAGAUUUAACCACUAUGCCCCUGGGCUGGCCCUGGUUGAGCAGCUUUUGGAUUUUGAUGGCGUCUGCCGUUGUCCUGGGGAAGGUGGUGUCGGUUUCCGGUUUCAUUGCGGUAACAUCUGACUAGUUCUGUGUAGCCUGGUGAUGCACUUCCCCAUGUCACCUCGUCUCACGCAGGCUGCCUGUGAGGAGCCUGGAGUCAGCUCUUGCCUGCCUGGUCCGAGCUGGUUGAGACCACUGACUCAUCCACUGGCCCUUGGAGAAUGGCCGAUAGGUGACUCUUUAACAUCAGGGGGCCAAAAACUCCACCCUCAGAUCAUGCUCAUGUCACCGAUUUGUGAACGUGUGUCCUCAAAGAGCCGUGAAGCUUGACUACGCCUGCACAGAUCAACCACCUCCCUUCUCCUACCUCUCAUCAUCUAUCCCCACACUGCGGACAGCCCUGCCUCUCUAUCCCAUAAAUAUCCCUAGUCCCCAUUUUCGAGGAGGUGGAUUUGAGACUGUUCUCCUGUCUCCUCGCUUGGCUGCCUUGUGAAUAAACCCUU